GGUCUGGCUCCCCUCUGUCUCUCAACCUCAUCUUAUAUGAUAGUUCAUCUGCAGCCCCUCCCUCUAGGCUUCUGCCAGGCUGGAAUUCUUUCACCUCCCAGAACUCCUGGACAGAAUUCCAUUUCCUUUUGUCACAGAGCCUUUCCACACACUGUUGCCUCAGCCUAGAUGCUAUUUGUCCAACUAGGCUAGUUACUCUUAUUCAUUGCCUUUUGGGCUUUAUUACUUAACACAGGAUGAUGUAGACCGAACGAUCAGAAACCCGACUUAAACUGGCUUACAUGAGAAUAUGCACUGUCAGACAUACCGGUUGCAGAGACUUGUCUUCACAUAACAGAAAGAGAGUGAGAGGAUUUUAUCAUCACCUGGAGGUGUGUGGUUUGCAAAACAAAGCAAGCAAGGCCUCAGCUCUUUUGUCCUGUGACUCAAUCCUGUAAAAUGAGUACCCUGGGCUCCAAAGGGACAUGGAUGAAUCUGGAGAACAUCAUUCUCAGCAAACUGACACAAGAACAGAAAAUGAAACACCGCAUAUUCUCGCUCAUAGGCGAGUGAUGAAAAAUGAGAACACAUGGACACAAACAUGCUGGGCUGUAGCCUGCUGAAGGAUGAGAAACACCUGAGCAGAGCUGAGUCAUUCCCACAGGAUCCAGAAGAAGCCUGAACCAAUCGGUGAACUGCAAACCAUUUCCAAGCUAUUUGGGUGAUGAGCACAGAUGAGCAGAGCCAACCAGCCUAACAUCUUCCAUGCAUGAACAGUAAAGGCUUAUUGUUGCAUGAGGUUUUAUGUGUUGCUGUGAAGAUAGGUAACUGAACGAUUGCAAUAUAACUUCAUCUUAUUUGUAAUUUUGAAUUCACUCAUUCACUCAACGGACAUCAAGGAUGAUACCGUGUAUUAACCCUGUGCUAAGGAUUGUUGGGGAGACAUUGUUAGGUGAUAGCAAACAAUAAUAACAAAUGAGACCAUCAACUGUCUUGUUUAUUCACCAAUAUAUUCUCCUGACCUAACAGGGUAAGUUGGCACUUAGUAGAUGUUCAAUAAACAUUGGCUCUCUUAUGAAGACAUAAUGAUGUGACACACGUAGGUUGUUGCAAGUGAGUGUAGCGUGUGUGUGUGAUCCAGAUAACAAAUUAAAUAUGUCAUUAAAGUAUGUAGGCCCAUUUUUCUUGCUAUCCUCUGGAAUGCAGAAAUAAUUUGCUAUUCUUUUCUCCACCGUCUUUUUUUUUCUUUUUCUUUCCCCUCCUACAAUGUCAGCAGCAGAAACUGCAGUGUGCUGUUGAAGUUACCUCUAUAAUAGAAUGUAGAUGUAUAAAUCAAAACAGCUUCUAACGGCUUGUCUGCAGUAAUAAAUGCUACAGAGGCUGCCCAACUGGCAGUGUGAGAGAGAUUAUACAAACUGCUGCCUGGAGAAAACACAGCAUCAUGAAUAAACUCAGCUUUGAAUUAUUUAUAUAUUUUAGGCGUUAUUUUCUCUCCUCGAUCCACAAGGCCUGGGAAUGAUUUUCACUGGGAGCUGAGAGUGUCUGCAUUUGGCUGUAAAAGGAAAACAGUUGCAGUCUGUCUUAGUCCAAGUUUCAGGGUGAGGAUGGCAUUGUGCUGCAUGAGGAGUCAGCAAGGCUGGCAGUGCAGUGCACUGAGAAGAUGCUGCUUAGAGCUCAGGAGAGUACAGUUCUAAUCCUAGGAAGCUGUGUCUCGGGGCUUGUGGGCAUUGCGGACCACCUUGGACCCACACGGUUGGAUGGAGAGCCCCAGGGCCUACCUCCAACACUUCUACCAGAGGAUGCUGCUUCAUUCUCUUUUACGAAGUAGAUUUCAAUCUAAGACUGUUGUGGAAAAAAAUCGUUUUAUUAUAAAAGGAAAAGUUUGGAAAUCAAUGGUGUGGCUGAUCUUUGAGACUCUAUACAAAUGAGCCUCACCUCCUCCUGCCUACUAGAGACCCUGGGAACCCUUUAAAAACUACUAAUGCCAGGGUCUUAAUCUUUAUCAAUUAAAUCAGAAUUUCUGGGUCGGGGUGGACAUCAGGAUUUUAAAAUGUACCCAGAUGACUCUUAAUGUGCAGCCAGGGUUGAGAACCACUUCUUAAAAUCCUUCAUUCAUCUAACGGGACAAAUAUUAAAAACCUGCUGUCAGCCAGGUAUUCAGAAGAGGACAAGGGUUCAAGUAAAGAAUGAGACAGGCCCAAUCCUUGCCUUCAUGGAUUUCUUCAUUUGAAUAAACUCACAGCUGCAAUUUGUAGGGAUAUGUUCCGAUAUGGGAAUAUAAAAUACUAUGACAGUAAUAGCAGCAACUCUAAUAGCAGUAGUGAUCAUGUUUAUUACUGGGAGAACGUUGUUUUAGUUAUUUUUUUUGAGACAAAGUUUUGUUCUUUGUUUUCUAGGCUGGAGUGCAAUGGUGUGAUCUCAGCUCACUGUAACCUCUGCCUACCAAGUUCAAGCGAUUCUCCUGUCUCAGUCUCCCAAGUAGCUGGGAUUACAGGCUCCUGCCACCGUGCCCGGCUAAUUUUGUAUUUUUAGUAGGGACGGGGUUUCACCAUAUCAGUCAGGCUGGUCUUGAACUCUUGACCCCAGGUGAUCCGCCUGUCUUGGCCUCCCAAAGUGCUGGGAUUACAGACAUGAGCGACUGUACCUCUUUUUAAAGACUUUCAAAAAUCUUUUUAAAGACUCAGGCAUUGUGCUAAGUGAUUUAUAGGAAGUAUCUUAUUGGGUUCUUAUUCCAAGUCUGUAGAUCAUAGGCACAGUUAUUCUCUUUGUUUUAUAAAUAAAGUACAUGAAACCCAGAGUGGUAACUUGCCCAAGUUUACACAGCCCAUAAAGGUGGAGUCUGGGGGAAGGGGUACCCUGCCCAGCCUUGGCAAAUCAGGAUGGUGUCUCUGUGCUUCUCAACUCUUUGAGUACAGUGUGGAGUUGCAGAGAUUGGAGGACUGAAUGGAUGUCAAAGUAUAUGUGGUAGAAUGGAAGCUUAAGUUUUUCAAAGCAUUGCACAAGCAUAAAUCAGGGCCUUGCAUGCAAACGUGUGUGCACACACACAUAAACACACACACAAAGUAUUACUGGCAGAAAAGAUUAUGAGAUGACACUUUUACAAGUGAGCAAACAGACGCAGAGGCAGCUGAUGGCACAGGCUUUGCCAUGCUGGGGAUGAGAAUCCAGUUAUGCUGAUUUCUUCUUUGAGGGCUGUUUCACUCACCCUGCUGUGACUCAGCUUUCAGUCUGCUCUUCUGUCUUAUAAUCCCAAGAUUCGAGGGAAAUUCCACUCGAUUUCACCAAAUAUAUUUUCACCUGACAUUGCACAACAAGGUGUCCUGAUCUUGCAGUCAUUCACUCUGCAAAUACCUUGAUUCACCCAGCCUACACCUCAAAUUUUUGAUGUCCCAUUUUCUCCCAUACGCAGGCAUUGUGCCUUCAGUAGGUGGUGGCGAACUUGUCAUGAGAAUGCCAUAAUCCUUUCCACAUGUUUGAAAUUGGGACUUUUCUAAGCUCCUUAGCAACGAUUGUCUCAUAUAACCUUUCCAGGAGUCCUGUCAGUAGGCAGGAAAGUUGCCAUUAUCAGCCCAUUUGGGAGAUAAACUGACUUGGGUGCAGAAAUGACCUGCCCCAGGCUCCUCCUGGGAAUUGAUGCUGUUGUUAUGGUAAUAGGAUGUUGGUCACUACUGGGUAACUCCAGCCACACCCUCCCUCGCCUUCACACAAUGUCUUCACAGUUCUAUCUGCAUUUGCUCCAGCUGUGCUUCCACCAACCUCAGUGCUGGUUCCUCCUUGCUGAGUCAUUUAGGCUGACUCAUCCACUGGACUCCAGAGAUUCCCUAACUGCAUGCUUGAGUUAGGGAAACGUGUGUUUGUGUAUUUGUGUGUGCAUGCAUGUGCAUGUGUGAGGUGGUCCUUAUUAAACUCUCAUCAGAACACUUCAGAAUAUUUGAACUGGCCACCACCUGACCACCUACUGAUAUGUCAGUGUCCCUCUUCCAAGGUAGAAAUGUAGUUCCUUGCUCUUUCCCAAAUCUGAUUUGCAAGAGCUGCUGCUCCUACAGUUCCACUCAUUCCCCCCACUACUUUUUUUCCUGUCUUUUCAUUUCUUUAUUCCUUCUUCUUCUAACCAUUACCAACAGUUUAGCCAAGAUAAUAUAAAAAUUUCUCUAGAGUAUGGCCCCAUCGAUUAAACUGUUAGAGGCUCAUAUUGCCCUUAAAAUAUAAAUGAUGCAAUGAAAGAGAACAUUGUUUCUGAGCAGCUCCUUGAGCCUCACUAUUUGCAUGACUGGUUGAAGACUUCACCCAAGUUGAACCUUUGGAGAAUCCAGAUUACUCUCUUGAUACUUUUUCCUUCUUCAGGCAAAACAGAAGCUCCUGUUGCCAGAGUCAGGAUGGGUACAGCAUCCAUUCCAUUCAGCAGAUCUCAUGCUCAGUAGGAUGAGGGCCAAGAGCUAAUCAGAGAGAAUUUUGGAACCUGGGCUAAAUGGGGGCUUUCAAAUAGCCCUGUUGGGAAGAAAACAUACAUACCAGGCUGUGUAGAGAGUCAGCAAAUAGUUCAUCAGAGACCCAAGGUCAGUGCUGGGUCCAAAGAGAUUGCAAGAAGUGAGGCUGAUUGGGAGCAAUUGUCCCAGAACUGGGUAGUUCGAAAAAUGCUCUGCGCUCAUUUUACCUUGUCCUGUUAAGCUGAAAGCAUUUUUAAGCCUGUGGGUUUUUGAGCAGUGCAUCUGGCUUGAUUAGUGACAUACCUAGUCAUUAUGUGGGCUGUUUGGAGGAUUUGACCCUUGAUGAAUGUUAACUGAUGGGAAAGCUUCACCCUCUGUCUUCAAAGAAUUUAGGAGAAAGAGGAUGGAGCAGAAAACCUUUCCUGGGAGGACCCUUUCUGUCUCCAACCCUCCAUCGCAGAUCUUUUAAGGACAAAAAGGGGCUGUUCCUCUAUCAUGAGGCUUCUAGUCCAGAGGGACAGGAUCCUUAGAAGGCAUGCCCCUGAGAACAGUCCUCUUUUUGGUGGAGAGGAAGGGGGCUGAAACUCUCUAACACUUACAUGUGAUGCUUUUCCCUUCUGGAAAGCACAUGAGAUUAACUGAUGAUGUUAUAAAAUAUGCAUUUUUUACAGAAAUAUUUAGGGAGAAAGCUGCUGCUUAGUGUUCUACAUUCCCAUGAGGGGAUUGAAGUGUACUCAUACUUUCUGCCUCUCUUUUCUCUCAUCUAUUGCUUGGAACAGAAGCCCUGUGGGGCUACAGAGCUUUAGCUAACUUACCAGCAAUGUCUCCGUAAUGUGCCCUUAAGUUCUGAAACCCGGAACUGUUGGGAUGACUGAAAAGUCUCAUCUUCAGACAGAGAACUGGGAGUAGUACUUUUUUUGCUCUUUGGAAAGAGAACAAGGGGUGGUAAACCCUCUCUGUGAGUGCCUUGAAAUUCCAUUUUGCUGUGCUGAGAAAGGAAUAGUGCUGUAUUUGUUUUCUAGAGCUUCCUUAACAAAUUAUCAUAAACUGAGUGAUUAAAAAAACAGAAAUGUACUCUGUUACAGUUAUGAAGGCCAGAAGUCCCAAAUCAAAGUAUCAGUAGGACCAUGCUCCCUCCAGAAACUCUAAAGAAGGGUCCCUCCAUCCCUCCCUCUGGCUUCUGGUGGCUGCCAGCUACCCUUGGCAUCUCCUGGAUGUGCUACUUCAGUCUCGCCUCCAUCACCAUGUGGAGUUCCCUCCAUGUGUCUCUGUUCACUUGUGUCCAAAUGUUCGUCUUCUUGUUAGGACACCUGCUAUUGGAUUAGGGGCUACCCUAAUCUAGCAUUGCCACCUCUUAACUUUAUUACAUCUGCAGAGACCCUAUAUCCAAAGAAGGUCACAUUCACAGGUACUGUGUAUUAAGGGUUGAACAUAAUUAACUCUUUGGGGGGCAUAAUUCUAAGCAUAACAUUGCACUCUAUGCUAGAUAGGGGAAGCAGCCUAUGGUUUAGCAUGCCCUAGAUAACUAUGCCAGUUGUGAGCUCAUUCAAAAUUAUUCCAAAAUGUAUUUACCAAGUCCCAAUAUUUCCCAUGCAUAGGCUGAGCACAGGGGUAGGAAAUGCAGCCAAUUAUCCUCAGAGUCACUAGCUGAUAAUACCUGCUUGAAAAGCUGUUAUGAUGUAUAAAUAAGAAAAUUGAUAUAGGAAAAAUGAGCCUAGUACACAGCACAGAGUAGCUGUUCAACGAUGGUCAACUGUUACGACAGGUGUGGUUCUGGCUACUUCAUGAUACUGAUGACCAUUAAUAAACACUCAGUGACACGUGAUGCUGAACACUUUGUAUCAUCUCAUCCCAUCACAUUGGCAACUCCAACAGGUGUGUUUUCAUUAUGUCUAUUGUCCAAAUGAUGACAUUGAAGCUUAGAGAGGCUGAGGAACUUUCCCAGUCACACAGUUAGUCACUUUCAGGACUGGGACUUGAAUGCAGGUUGGUCUAACCACGCUAUGUCAGUUCUUUCAGUGUCUCUCAAAGGAUGUUCCCGAGUCAAUCAGUGGCAAUAUCUAACCCCUCUCUUGAGGCUUAAAUUUUACUUUACAUGUCAAUACAGUGCAGGUCUUGCAUGAGCAGAUCUGGAAAGAGGAUGGCAAGCUUCAGCUGACCCCAGGGAGGUGUGCCUCUGAAGCAGGCACUAGCUGUGAAACAAGCUUCUUCUUGAAUGUGGAGGAAGCUGAUGUAUCUGAGUACCACUUUUUAAUCAAGAAGACUGUCUGUCUCCCAUUGUCAUUUGAUCUUUCUUGAAACAACAGCCACAAAUCUCCAGGCAACACAGACAUGAUGCAGACAAGAUGAAAACGGAGAAAGCAGCAUCUUUCUCUCAUUAAUGGGAAAGGAGAAAAAGCACAGCUCUGCCUCAAGUGUUUUGGAAAUGUGUUAUUUUUAGAAAAGGACAUUUUGUGAUUUUAGUUGUUUGAUUUCUGAGAAGGUUUUCUUUUUAAAGAAAUCAAAAAUGAAUAGUAGAUUGAGCAGUAACAAUCAAUCAGCAAAAGAAUAUUGUGCAAGGCAUGGUGGUAGAGACAGGGAGGCUGUGAGGUUUUGUUCCUGCUCUUUGGAUGCUUAGAAGCUAAUAAGAAAGAUUGCAUAGUGCUGUCUGUAUAGAGCUCAGAAAAUAAGGCAAUCUGAUCUAUUGUAGUUCACAAGAGGGAGAAUAAUUGGAGAGGUAAAAAUUGCGGAGCCCUGAAGAAUGGAUGAAGUUGUUUAUUCAUUUGUUCAUUCAAUGAAUAUGUACUGAACACCUUUUCUGUGUAUAGCAGACACUGACAAAAAUAAAAGCUCAAUGAGACCUUGUCUCUAGCCUUGAAAAGUUUAUAGACCAGUGGCAGACAGAAAAUUAUACACCAAAAAAUGUGAUGAAGUAAAGGAUAGAAAUGUGAACAGAUAACUUGGGGCCAUAAGGGGCAAAUAGGUGAAGAAUUUUAAACAGAAGAGAUAAAGACAGCUGAAAGCUUCAUGGAAGAGAGAACACGAAAAAUGGGAAGUUGAGGAUGGAGCUGAAUUGACCAGAAGGAAGAGCAGGAAGGAUAGUUGAGGCAGCACAUGGAUGAGACUCUACUUACAGCUGGGAGAGGUAAGAUCUUACGGGUGUGGAGGGAUUAACCUUGCAAGGGGGCUGGGCACACCUGUAUUUGCAGAAAAAAGGGAAAAUUUUAAAGCACUGGAUGCAAUGAGAUGACUUAUAAAAGCUUUGUUUUAGAAAUGAAGGUAACACAUUGGGGGUUAGACAACUAGACAAACCAGUAAUAAGUACCAUAAGGGAAGUAGUUUGGGUUCCUGUAGGAAUUCAAACAAAAGCCGCUUUAUCUAGAUUGGACCUGCCUACAGAAGACUUCUUGGAAAAAAUGACAUCCACAGGAAUUAGCAUGAUAAAGGAGGGGGUGAGUGAGAGGAAGACAAUUCUUCAGGAAAGACAGAGUAGGUUUGGUGAUUGCAGACUGCUCUGUUUGACUGGAAGAUAAGGAGAGAUGUGUGUGCUCUGAGGAUGGGCACGAGGCAGGAGUGGGUGGAUUUGUUCAGGCCCUGAAAGGCCUCAACAGACCACUGAGAUUUGAAGGUCUUUCAGCAGUGUGUGACCUGAUCAGAUUUGCCUUUUAGAAAGGGCCUGUGGCUGCUGGGUGGGAAAUAUAUAGGAGAGAUGCAAACAAAGAGGAAGAGGAACCUGUCAAGAGGAUGUUCUGUAUUAACCACGGGGAGCUUAGACCAGAGUGGGCAGUAGAAUGGGGGAAAAGUACACUAAAUGAGCACAUAGUUAGAAGAUGAAAAGAAAGGACUUGGUGAUUGGAUGGCCUUGAAUUCUGUGGGGAGGUAGCAAGCUAGUGAUGGAGAAAAAAAAAAUGGAAAACUGGGAGAAUGGUGAAGACAGUUACAGAGAUACAGGACACAGGAGGAGGAACUGCCUGGGGUAAAGCAGACUACAUUAUGGAAGACAGGUAAGGAUACAGCCUGUGUUACCUGGGUGUGUGGGGAGUUAGGAUGUGAAGAAGGAGCAAUGGGCACGUCAAUUUAAUGAGCAUUAAUUGAGCUAUUACUGUGCUGCAGGCUCUGGGCUAUAUGCUGAGACAAAAACCCAUUGUGUAGAAUAUUUUCAAGGAUUUCUGAAAUCUAGUGAGAGAUGAAAAUGUAUAUAUAGACAAUUUCAGGAUGUGCCCAUGUGGCAAUAGACUUAUGGUUCUAGGAGAAGAUAACUUAAUUGAACAAAUAUUGGUGAGCACCUAGUGUAUGCCAGAAUGGUGCUAGAUGCAGUGGACUUGGCAAUCAGUGAGUCUAAUAAGAGCCUUUCUUUCAUAGGUAGAAUUUUACUGGGGGACCUAAUAAACAAAUAAAAAUACACAGAGGUUUGGACGAGUACCAGUGUGCUAGUUUGGGUUCUGGGAAAUCAGAAAUAAGAUACAGGUUGGUGAGGGAGCAUGUAGAAGAUACUGAAGGAGCCUGGAGGGGCCACCAGACUUCAGUGCUGGUCUGACUCCAUGGUGCAGGGAAGGAAAGUAGGAAGGCUGUGUGGAAGAAGUCUCAGAAAGCUGUGCAGUCCAUGGAAGUUUCAGUGAAGAAUUCUGAGUCCCCAAGCCAAAGUUGCCAGUCUAAGGAAUCCCAUAUUUUCCAGGAAUACACUGCCCUUAGGUCCUGCCCUCCUUAGCCAUUGGAUGGGAGCAUUCCAUGGGAAGUAUGGCUUUGGAGCAUGUGAAUGGGUGGAUUACAGUGAGCAACAGCAAGAGCCUUGAGACAAUUAUACUUCGGCAUUUGGAGGUCUGCGAAGCAUUUUUUGUAGCCACUCUAAGUAUAGAGAAAGUAAGCCAGUUGCCAAGAGAGGAUAAUCUCCGAGAGUGAGAUUUAUGUGAUCAGAGAUAGAUGGAUAGAUGGUCUCUCUGAUGAUGUUUAACCUCAGACCAGAGGAUGAGAAGGAUCCAGCUCUGUGAAAAACCUUGUGGAACUUUGUAAGUAGAGGGCACAGCAAAUGCAAAGACUCCGUAGUGGCGUCUGAGAGUGCCUUUGAGGUCCAGCAUAAUUUGAAUGUGACCAAAAAAGGAAAAGAGUAGCAGAAGAUGUAGGCAGGACUAGACAGUCCAGGGCUUUGUAAAUCAUUGAGAGGAGUUAGAUUUUAUUCAGACUCCACAGAGUGGAGAAUAUAAGUGGGCAGUGAUAGAUCAGAUUUCUAUUUAAGAAGACCACUGUGGCUGCUAUAAGCCUAUAAGGUUUUCAGGAGUGGAGAGGAGUUAAAUGGUAACAGAUGAUGAUGACAGGCACAGUCAAGGCACCCUGGCCUUGACAAGGGAUUGCUGGUGUGGUAAGAAAAGGCAUCAUGAGAAAAGGCAUGUGAGCUGGGUCUUAAAUGGGUAAAGUCGUAGAGCAAAUUGAAGAAAGGAGGUGACAUUUGAGGUGAACCUCACUGGCUCCGUGAAGGGAGGAGCUAUCUCAUAGCACUUUUCAAAAUCACUAAAACGCAGCACCAAAGCAGUCUUUAAUUUAGUGCCUUUUAUAGGAGAGAAUAUGGUUCAGGAGUAACCAAGGACAUUUACAGGUGGAAAGUACUUAAAUCAGAGCGACAGCAUAGUUAGGGAAAGGAGACCAACCAUUUCUUUUUUUAUGGCAGAGAACAUUAAGUGAAUAUGUCAGACUCUGAUCACGUCAGAGGCUGAAGCUGAGAAAAAGAGAGCACUCAUCUUCCUUCUCAGUGUGGCUCUGGAUGCCAGCUGGAGACACUGUGAGCCAGUUUGGACAUGGAGGGCUCAGAGGAAGUCAACUUUGGAAGCUUAUAAAGUUGAUUCACUGACUGCUGGUUUGAAAUGGUGUCUGCUAACAGCCCCUGGUACAGCUUCUCCAUAAUGGGAUGUAAAAUACCUAUAAAGGCUUAGAAGAAGAUGUAAACUCAAAACACAGCCAUAAACUUGGACUGACAGUCCCCUAAGGACUGGGUCUGGAAGCACUUUUUGCCAACAGUAAUGCCAAUGAGACUGAAAAGAAAAGAACAUUCUAGGGGCGUGGGUGUGUCACUGAGGAAAUGCUCUGCAGGCAAGAAGUAAGAAGGGCUAUUAUUUUUGCUGUGCAUCUCCUGGAUGAGGAUCCCCUGGAUGGUGUGUCCCCUCAAUUGUGUAUACCCAAAUGGAUUCUCUAAUGAAAACUGAUGACUACCCAGAACUUUAGUAUGCACCUUUUUUUGUAAAUAGCUUAUCUGCAGAUACAAUGGCUUAAAGUUCAAGAUGAGACCAUACUGGGUAGGCUGGGUCCUGAAUCUAAUGACAGUUUCUUUAUAAGGGAGAGAAAGUCACAUGCAUUGACUCAAAGAGAGAAUAUGGUUCAGGCCACAUGAAGACAGAGGCAGAGACUGGAGUGGUGGAGCCACAAGCCAAAGAUCACCAGGAGUCAGCAGAAGCUCAAAGAGGCAAGGAAGGGCUCUGUCCUAGAGACCUCAGAGUGAGCGUGCCCCUGCUGACACUUUCAUUUUGGACUGACCUCCAGAACUGUGAAAGGAUAUAUUUUUGUUGGCAACCACAGGAAACUAAUACAAUAGAAAACUCAAGUUUGUGCCAGGUUUUGAAAAUGGAAACGUUUGAGGUAAUGGUAAUGAAAAUGAGUGUUGACCAGGAAGGCACAGGGGCAAAGUUGAGAGGGCACAUGGCCUAUGAAGACACUCAAUUGUUAUCUCCUAAG